rnacentral:lncRNA from 1 species
UGUGACUUAGAAUCGGGGUCCUGACACUGCAAUAGCAUAAGAUCCAUUUUAUCAUAGUACUAGUGCUAGAUACUUUUCUUAAUUCAUAGUAAACUGUAAGUUAUCUCUCAAGCACUCUCUGCAGGAAAUUAUCUCAUGAAUUGUGUGUAGCGUUUGUGCCUGGUGAGUGUUCGUAUAAAUCCCUAGGCAGCCUCCUUUCCCUCUCUCCACAAUCUGAAACUCACGGGAGGUGCAUCUUGUACAAUAAGAGGUGAAUCCCUCCCGUUCUGCCUGCUGCUGCUGCUAUUUCUUUAUAUUCGUGACAUGUUCCUGCACAAUCUUGUCAUAUUAAUCUAUGCACAAAUUGAUGCUCUAUAUCUACAAGAUAAUGAUCUAGAUUUCUUUUUCUAAUAUAAUGUUAAAAGUCGACUAGAUGAAAAAUUCUCUGUGUUAGCAAGAUCAGUACUGCUCAACAGUACGACAAGUAGCAGUACUGAUCAGUACAACUUACACAAUAUUAGUACCGAUCAGUACUAUUCUUAAUGUUAAAAGUAACACCCAUAUAGUACUGAUGAGUCGUAGUGACAAGGAUGCAGUCUACAAAUUCUGAACUUAUUGUUGAGUCAUACUAGUACUGAUGAAAUGGGAAGCAAGGUUGUGUCACAUGAAUCUUAAUUGAAUAGGAAGCAAGGUUGCAAUGAGACCCUAGAAAAUCACUAUUUAUUUUAUCCUCGGUUCUUAGAAAAGCAUGGAAACAAUUCUCUGUGUGUUAGAGUAUCAGUUCAUGUGGAGAAGAACAUGUUUCCUAUAUGAAAAAAUAAUAUAUUAUUAUCAGUUCAAUGUGUAUUUUGUCAUUAGUUCAUACAGAACAACCGUAAAAAAUAUUUUGAUGUGUGCUAGAGAGAGCUCGACUUUAUAUUAUAUGGUAGCUCACUCAUUGCACGAUUGCACAACAGUUUGGCAAGAAAAUUGACAUCAGUUCAGGGAUGCCCACAUCACGGCCUCACCGUGCCACCGCAAUCUCUCCUUGAUAUGCCACCGGACGAGCCCCUCCUCACACUUUGGCAAGCUGUCACUUCUUGCUCCUGUGCCUGGAUCCCGUGUGAGGACUGCUUAGAUCUUGGUCAGGCGAAGGCCAUGUAGGUUGCAAAUUGCUCUUCUGGUAUGUUGGGGGUGUGUCUAGGCCGACCGCUUCAGAUUUGUUUUGUGUUAGCUAGAUUCUAAGCUAGAACGGUCUGAUUUAAGCAAUUGGAAUUUGAAUAAUCAAGUUGCCAUCUGCCCUGCUGUCACAAAGAAUCUAUUUUUACCAAUGUUGUACUUUUUUUUGCAGUUGCCGUUGUAGUUGUACAAUAGUUUUGUCUCAUAGUGCUCUUAGUUGUGCACUUAAAUGAUCCCACAAUAUGGCAUUAUCUUUGAGAAUAGAGUUCAUCAAUAGUUCAGAGUUGUGAAUAGGAGGGUGUGCCUGUACCUGGUGGGUUUGCUUAUGAUUCUGGUGUGCUUACCGGUUUGGCCUAUUCGAAGUUGUGUAGUUUGCAAUUUGUUUUUCCGGUGGCAGCCGUCCAAGUUGAGCGCUGAUGGUAGUCAUCUAUGUGCGCCAGUGGCACUCUCUCACAGCAAUAUCUCUCUUUCUUUGCUCCUGCUAUUAAAAUGCAUAAAUGUGGUAUUCUGCUAACUGAGUAGUUGGGAAGAUGUGAGAAGAACAUGCUCUUUAGGUAUUUGUGACUAUUCCUGUGAGCACCAAUGUAUUUAAAUGUUUAUUUUGUGCUUCCGCGCAUGUUUUUGGGAAGCACAAGUACAUCGUCAUAGUAAGUACAAAUGCGGUCUUAUGGGACUUUGAUAGUGGUUGGAUGCUAUUCCAAAUGCCAAGAUCAUGCAAAACGGUUGUUGCUAGAAUCUAGAUGAUAUUUAAUGUAGAUACCAUAGUUUCACCCUAUUUUUUGGUUCUAAUUAUUGCUGCAUACCUAUUUAAAAGAAUGUUCCAUAAAUGUUUGUGAUCAUUGCUUGUAGGUAUUCAUGUGGACUUUAAAAUAACGACUGUUCUUGUAGGAGGUUCGAAGAUUAUCGUGGAGCAAGUUCAAGAGAUUAGUUUCGUGAAAAUGAAUGUGAUCUUUUGGUCAGGAUUUUGCAUGAUCCAUAGCCAUCGGUGGCAACAGGCGAGCAGUUUGAGGCCUCCUACGUGAGUCAUCCAUCGUCUUCUAUGCGUAAGAUUGUUGUCUCUACACAUCUAGCAUCAGAGUAUCUCCUCCCCUUGCCGCACAGACAUGUCAGGUGGUCGAGCUAGUGUUGUUUGUGAUUACUGGUCGUGACUCUUAUGAUGUCAUUGGACAAAGAAUUUGUUCUGUAACUCUGUAUUUGCAGGACCUUUAGCAAAUAUUGUUGUGUUCUGAGUAUUCCGAUGUAGGCCAAAAUGGUGAAGAUUUAAACAUCAACCCGAAUUAAUAAGACUGAGAAGUUCUACUUUAAGUAAACGGGUGAACCUAGAUGCAACAAAGCUCUGCCAUUA